GCAACAUGCCAAGGUCUCUAGGCCUAUGCACAGUCAGUAUUGUGAUUGACAUUGGCAAUGGUUUACUUAUAGAAAAGGACCAGCUCAUAGCCAUCACUCAGAUAAGCGAUGGGGCACGAGGCAAAUUCAAAAUUUGUUUGUUAUUGUUUCCGAUGCAUGAAGUGGUAGGAAAAUACAAGAUAGGGAAGAAAAGCAAGGCACAUGUGGAACAUCGAUAGAGAAUAAGCGUUUGAAUCCCAUCUGAAUUACUGCCAUAACAGAUUUCCUGAGGCUUCAACUACUCUUUUGAGACAGUCUCUGCCAAACAGAAUAAAAAAAAUGAACAAGCCUAAAAAUUGGGAAUACCAUGUAUGCAUUUUUGUUUUUAAAUUUGUUAUUAACUUUAAUUCCAAACUUCGUUUUAUUAUUUUUUUGUAGUAUUUAUUUAUAUUUGACGUUUCAGUGUGUAGGUCGUCUUAAAGUUAGGUUCAGAAAAGUUUGGUUUUUUUUUUAAAUUUUUUUUUUAUGUUGUAGAACUGAUUUUUUUUAAACCCAAAAAGAAUAUUUGAUGAAAAAAAGCGGUUAAUGAGAUUCAGAUUUUUUAAUAUUUAAAAA